rnacentral:rRNA from 1 species
UCCUACGGGGGGCAGCAGGCGAGAGACCUUAGCAAUGCGGGAAACCGUGACUGGGCUAUCCCGGGUGCCAGCCGCUAAGGUUGGCUUUUCCCCAGAGUAAAAACCUGGGGGAAUAAGCGGGGGGCAAGACUGGUGUCAGCCGCCGCGGUAAUACCAGCUCCGCGAGUGGUCGGGACGAUUAUUGAGCCUAAAGCGCUCGUAGCCGGUCCGGUAAGUCCUGUGCUAAAUCCAACGGCUCAACCGUUGGGCCGCAUGGGAUACUGCUGGCUAGGGAGCGGAAGAGGCCAGGGGUACUCCCGGGGUAGGGGCGAAAUCCUAUAAUCCCGGGAGGACGACCAGUGGCGAAGGCGCCUGGCUAGGACGCGUCCGACGGUGAGGGGCGAAAGCUGGGGGAGCGAACCGGAUUAGAUACCCGGGUAGUCCCAGCUGUAAACGAUGCGGAUUGGGUGCCGGUACGGCUUCGGGCCGUAUCGGUGCCUCAGGGAAGCCGUUAAAUCCGCCGCUUGGGGAGUACGGUCGCAAGACUGAAACUUAAAGGAAUUGGCGGGGGAGCACCACAAGGGGUGAAGCCUGCGGCUCAAUUGGAGUCAGCGCCGGGAACUUUACCGGGGGCGACAGCAGUAUGAGGGCCAAGCUGAUGACUUUGCCCGACGCGCUGAGAGGUGGCGCAUGGCCGUCGCCAGCUCGUGCCGUGGGGUGUCUGGUUAAGUCCAGGAACGAGCGAGACCCUCACCCCUAGUUGCCACCGCGCAAGCGGGCACACUAGGGGGACCGCCACCGCUAAGGUGGAGGAGGGAGGGGGCAACGGCAGGUCAGCAUGCCCCGAAUCCCCCGGGCCGCACGCGGGCUGCAAUGGUGGAGACAAUGGGUUCCGAACCCGAAAGGGGGAGGUAAUCCUUGAAACUCCACCGUAGUUGGGAUCGAGGGCUGCAACCCGCCCUCGUGAACCUGGAAUCCCCAGUAAUCGCGUGUCAUCAUCGCGCGGUGAACACGUCCCCGCUCCUUGCACACACCGCCCGUC